CUAAGAGUUUUGAAACUGGCUCAGGAUGAACGCUGGCGGCGUGCCUAACACAUGCAAGUCGAGCGAUCUCUUCGGAGAGAGCGGCGGACGGGUGAGUAACGCGUGGGUAACCUGCCCUGUACACACGGAUAACAUACCGAAAGGUAUACUAAUACGGGAUAACAUAUGAAAGUCGCAUGGCUUUUGUAUCAAAGCUCCGGCGGUACAGGAUGGACCCGCGUCUGAUUAGCUAGUUGGUAAGGUAAUGGCUUACCAAGGCAACGAUCAGUAGCCGACCUGAGAGGGUGAUCGGCCACACUGGAACUGAGACACGGUCCAGACUCCUACGGGAGGCAGCAGUGGGGAAUAUUGCACAAUGGGCGAAAGCCUGAUGCAGCAACGCCGCGUGAGCGAUGAAGGCCUUCGGGUCGUAAAGCUCUGUCCUCAAGGAAGAUAAUGACGGUACUUGAGGAGGAAGCCCCGGCUAACUACGUGCCAGCAGCCGCGGUAAUACGUAGGGGGCUAGCGUUAUCCGGAAUUACUGGGCGUAAAGGGUGCGUAGGUGGUUUUUUAAGUCAGAAGUGAAAGGCUACGGCUCAACCGUAGUAAGCUUUUGAAACUAGAGAACUUGAGUGCAGGAGAGGAGAGUAGAAUUCCUAGUGUAGCGGUGAAAUGCGUAGAUAUUAGGAGGAAUACCAGUAGCGAAGGCGGCUCUCUGGACUGUAACUGACACUGAGGCACGAAAGCGUGGGGAGCAAACAGGAUUAGAUACCCUGGUAGUCCACGCCGUAAACGAUGAGUACUAGGUGUCGGGGGUUACCCCCCUCGGUGCCGCAGCUAACGCAUUAAGUACUCCGCAUGGAGGG
rnacentral:rRNA from 1 species